CGGUUAUAUUGUUGGAGACGGUGACAUUUUCUGCUGAAAACCACCAAGAUCAACGGACUAAAGACCCUAAAGAAACCAACUAUCCAAUAGGUGUGGACCAAAGACUCAAAAGAAAAGAAAACAAACACAAAACACAAAAGAGAGGAUGAAAGAGGUCUCUGGUGGAUGGCUGUCAAGUCACCAUCAUUCACCUACCUCGUCACCUGCGGCAGGUCCAUGAGUGGGGCAGAGAGGAGGCCCAGUCUGCAGUCAACACAUUCGGCCUCGGAGCACCAAGCAGACAUGGUGGCAGCAGCUGCAAGUCUAAAAACAACCAUCACUCCAGGCCUUGCCCCAUGACAGGCUGUCAUGAAGUGGUCAAAAGACUGCCAGCCCACCUGAGAAAGCAACACAAGCUUGAAAAUAACUCUCCUCUAUACAGAGAGCUUCUUACAGCAUCACAGAAGAGAAAGAAGGUCAAAUGUCAAUGAAUGAAUUUUAUGAUGUUUACUGUGAAUAAUUAUUCUACCUGAUGUAUUGAAGUUGAAUGACAAAUAUGUAAUUGAAUUGGGACAUGAUUGAACAAGAGAAUAUUUGGGAAAGGAUUAAAGAAAGCACUAGAACUGCCACACAGCUCGGCUAACUUCGAUGUCUGUUUUCCGUUAUCUACAGCAGGCCGACUCAGACAACCUUUCUGAGGCCUGUAACAGAUACAGCAUAGAAAGACCAGCAUCAAUUCAUAUCCGAAGUGGUCACACUCAUUUACACACAGACCUUUUUUGUAGGAUGUAAACCUUAUGUAUGUGGUCACGUGUGGCUCAGUUGGUAGAGCAUGGCGCUUGCAAUGCCAGGGUUGUGGGUUCAAUUCUCACGGGGGGACCAGGGUUCAAUUCCCACGGGGGGACCAGGAUGAAUAUGUAUGAACUUUCCAAUUUGUAAGUCGCUCUGGAUAAGAGCGUCUGCUAAAUGACUUAAAUGUAAAUGUAUGUCCAGUGGUGUAAAGUACUUAAGUAAAAAUACUUUAAAGUACUACUUAAGUCGUUUUUGGGGUUUCUGUACUUAACGUUAUUAUUUCUAUUUUUUGAAAACUUUUACUCCACUACAUUUCCCUGACAUCCAAAAGUACUCGUUACAUUUUGAAUGCUUAGCAGGACAGGAAAAUUGUCUAAUUCACACACUUAUCAAGAGAACCUCCCUGGUCAUCCCUACUGCCUCUAAUCUGGCAGACUCACUAAACACAAAUGCUUAGUUUGUAAAUUAUGUCUGACUGUUGAGGUGUGCAACUGGCUUUCCGUAAAAAAAAAUAUUUAAAAAACAUUGUGCAGUCAGUUGAUUAAUAUAAGGAUUUUUAAAUUAUUUAUACCUUUACUUUUGAUUCCUAAGUAUAUUUUAAACCAAAUACUUUUAGACUUUUAUUCAAGUAGUAUUUUACUGGGUGACUUUCACCUUUACUUGAGUCAUUUUCAUUUAAGGUAUCUUUACUUUUACUCAAGUAUGACAAUUGGGUACUGUGGUGGAUGAAUCAGAAAAAAAUAGCUUUUUUCUAUUUUGGUGUUUUUCAGAGUCAUUAGAAAGGCCUCUUUAGUGUCCUAAGUUUUCAUAACUGUGACCUUAAUUGCCUACUGUCUGUAAGCUGUUAGUGUCUUAACGACCGUUCCACAGGUGCAUGUUCAUUAAUUGUUUAUGGUUCAUUGAACAAGCAUGGGAAACAGUGUUUAAACCCUUUACAAUGAAGAUCUGUGAAGUUAUUUGGAUUUUUACGAUUUAUCUUUGAAAGACAGGGUCCUGAAAAAGGGAUGUUUCUUUUUUUGCUGACUUUAUUUCUAUUUUUAAGCUGAAAUGAAGGUUUGAGUGUGUGCUGAAGGGUCAUCAGCAGCUGCCAAAAGCUUGGAUAAGCCCAAAUAAAUAUUUACAUACAA